UUUUGCAGGCUAAACAUACCCAACUCCUUCAACCGUUCCUCAUAAGGCUUGGUUUCCAGAUCCCUGAUCAUCACGGUCGCCCUCUGCUGCACAGGUUUUUAGUCUUUAAUCAACUUUCCAUUUUGUUCUAAAAGUAGCUGCACCUCAUCCCCUCAGGGGGCCUAUCCACCUGCCUGAAUCCUAACCAUGUCUACUCAGAGGAGUCCCACUCAAUUCAGUGAGUCUUACUUCCAGGCGACUGUUUCUGAUUACAGCAGCUCAAGGAAGGAAAAAAAGCUCUAUCAAUAGGGAACAUAUUGAAUGGCAUGGCACAAUUGGCACCUGGUCAGGUUGGCACAAUAAAUUGUGGCACUUUUUAGAUAAAAGAAAAAGGAAGACUGAACAGCUGCUCACAAGUGCAGGUUUAUCGACAGGAAGAUUUCUUUGAUGAAUGCCCCGCCCCAGUUCAUCUCAACAAAGCUUUCCCAGUCAAGGAAAAAGCAAUGGUCUUCUCUCUAAUUGUUUUCUCAGAGGCAAAACUGCUCAAGAAAUUCCGAAACAGAAAUAUAUACGCUUGGGUGCAUCUGUGGAACACAAGUUUCUUUCGCAGCCUUCUUCUUAUGAAGUGAUACGUUGCCGAGCUGAAUUUCUAAUGGUGUCACUUUUGGACGAUGAUAGAAGUCAUGAAGAACUGACAAAUGAAAGCAAGGUGUGCACCCUUUCAUUGACAUUAUCCCUUUCUCACUAUGUUUCAGCUAGCGAGAGAGACAGACAGUCCAAAACAUCUAGUAUUCUGCCUUGGCUCCCUGCCAAGACUUUAAAGUCUUCCACUGAGCUAAAACAACAGCAGCCCAAAUGUUUUUCUUGGCCCUUUCAGGGCUCAUCUUCCAAAGCUGGACUGAAGAUAGAAAUCUUCUCUCAACAUUUUUUUUUUUUUGCUUUAGACCUUUCUAUUUCAUUAUUCCGCAGCUGCAGAGCUAGAUAAGGUUCUGGUCUGUAGGCAGGGCGCUUGGUCUGCUUAAAUGCCUCUUAUUCAUUAGUUUUCUUGAGAAGCAAUCUGUUAAACCUUAUAUCAUUCAGUCUCGGAUUGUUAGGUUAAAUGCUACCUUAAAGAUGGUUGAUGCUGUGCUUCAAUGGUUCUGCUCUGGCCUCCAAGGCAGUUUCCAGGAAGUAGUUGUGCAAGACUACUGUUUGGCACCCCCUUC